rnacentral:rRNA from 1 species
GAUUAACGCUGGCGGCGUGCCUAACACAUGCAAGUCGAGCGGCAGCGAGUUUUACACUGAAUUCUGGAAGCUUCUAGUUGAAAGAGAAGAUUUAUUCAAGAAUUUUGUGUAAAAUGUCGGCGAGCGGCGGACGGCUGAGUAACGCGUGGGAAUGUACCCCAAAGUGAGGGAUAACGCAUCGAAAGGUGUGCUAAUACCGCAUAUGGUCUUCGGAUUAAAGCCUUCGGGCGCUUUGGGAACGGCCUGCGUAAGAUUAGAUAGUUGGUGGGGUAAUGGCCUACCAAGUCGACGAUCUUUAACUGGUUUGAGAGGAUGAUCAGUCAGACUGGAACUGAGACACGGUCCAGACUCCUACGGGAGGCAGCAGUGAGGAAUCUUCCACAAUGGGCGAAAGCCUGAUGGAGCAACGCCGCGUGCAGGAUGAAGGCCUUCGGGUUGUAAACUGCUUUUAUAAGUGAGGAUUAUGACAGUAACUUAUGAAUAAGGAUCGGCUAACUACGUG